CCCGAGCAUUUUAUUUCCUCACUUUUGUUGUAUGUUCUUCCUCGAGAGUAACAUCCUAUUGCUUUUAAUCCAACCACCUACGCUUCCUCUAUCUACUAGCCACUUGAAGGUUUUUCUCCUUAUGGGUUUUUUUAGAGAGAGAGGUGUGUUGAGGGAAGAAUAUCUCUCUCCUCAUUGACAAGAAUGCCAUUGAAUUGAAAGAGAGAAUGAUAAGGAUGUUGCAGAAGAGGAUUUCUUAGAAUGAUAACGAUGUUGCAGAAGAGGGUGUCUUCUAAGUAGUUCUUGCUACUGCCAUGAGAGAGAAGAGGAUAGAGGGCUGAAAGCCGCAUAGAGAGAAGAGAGGCAAUAGGGUAGGCAGGGGGAGUGUUCGAAGUUUCAACACAGAGAUCUAUAGGAAGAAAGGGUAAAAAGGUCUAUGGUAAUUAAACAUGAAACUCAUAACUAAGGCUCUCCACGUUACUAGGGCUUAGAUCUACAGUUUCUUGAAUGAACGGUCUACAGUUUAGAUACACUCUAACGAGGUGUAUUUAAAGUACAUUAGAUCACUGCCCUUUGUUUAAUAUUUCAUAAAAGUAUACAAUGAAACUAUUCACCUAUGUCAGCUUUUACAUAGACUGGUUACAACUAAUCUUGACCAUAAAAUUGGGCGGGUACAUUCAUUGUCCUUUGUUUCGUUUCUCUUUUUUUUUAACUGUUACAAUCUUGAUACUCUGGCAGGUUGGUGUUCUUUCUUGAGGAAUUAUGCAUGGG
rnacentral:lncRNA from 1 species